rnacentral:rRNA from 1 species
AUUGAACGCUGGCGGCAGGCCUAACACAUGCAAGUCGAACGAGUGGCGGACGGGUGAGUAAUGUCUGGGAAACUGCCUGAUGGAGGGGGAUAACUACUGGAAACGGUAGCUAAUACCGCAUACCAUCGGAUGUGCCCAGAUGGGAUUAGCUUGUAGGUGAGGUAACGGCCUACCAAGGCGACGAUCCGUAACUGGUCUGAGAGGAGGAUCAGUCACACGGGAACUGAGACACGGUCCAGAUUCCUACGGGAGGCAGCAGUGGGGAAUAUUGGACAAUGGGCGAAAGCCUGACCCAGCCAUGCCGCGUGUAUGAAGAAGGCCUUCGGGUUGUAAAGUACUUUCAGCGGGGAGGCGUUACCCGCAGAAGAAGCACCGGCUAACUCCGUGCCAGCCGCCGCGGUAAUAC